rnacentral:rRNA from 1 species
CCUACGGGAGGCAGCAGUGAGGAAUAUUGGUCAAUGGUCGGGAGACUGAACCAGCCAAGCCGCGUGAGGGAGGAAGGUACAGAGUAUCGUAAACCUCUUUUGUCAGGGAACAAAGGCGGGGACGUGUCCCCGGAUGAGUGUACCUGAAGAAAAAGCAUCGGCUAACUCCGUGCCAGCAGCCGCGGUAAUACGGAGGAUGCGAGCGUUAUCCGGAUUUAUUGGGUUUAAAGGGUGCGCAGGCGGUCUGUUAAGUCAGCGGUGAAAGCCCGGGGCGCAACCCCGGCCCGCCGUUGAAACUGGCAGUCUCGAGUUGGAGAGAAGUAUGCGGAAUGCGCGGUGUAGCGGUGAAAUGCAUAGAUAUCGCGCAGAACUCCGAUUGCGAAGGCAGCAUGCCGGCUCCACACUGACGCUGAGGCACGAAAGCGUGGGUAUCGAACAGGAUUAGAUACCCCAGUAGUC